rnacentral:rRNA from 1 species
GACGAACGCUGGCGGCGUGCCUAACACAUGCAAGUCGAGCGGGGUUGAAGCGAGGGGUAACUCGGACUUCUACCUAGCGGCGGACGGGUGAGUAACGCGUGGGCAACCUGCCUCAAGGUUUGGGAUAACAGCUCGAAAGGGCUGCUAAUACCGGAUAUGCCUGUGGCCUCGCAUGGGGCUAUGAGCAAAGGGGAAACCCGCCUUGAGAUGGGCCCGCGUCCCAUCAGCUAGUUGGUGAGGUGAAGGCUCACCAAGGCGACGACGGGUAGCCGGCCUGAGAGGGUGACCGGCCACACUGGGACUGAGACACGGCCCAGACUCCUACGGGGGGCAGCAGUGGGGGAUCUUGCACAAUGGGCGAAAGCCUGAUGCAGCGACGCCGCGUGAGCGAAGAAGGCCUUCGGUUGUAAAGCUCUGUCUGGAGGGACGAAGAAAAUGACGGUACCUCCGGAGGAAGGCCACGGCUAACUACGUG